UACGAAGGGGGCUAGCGUUGCUCGGAAUCACUGGGCGUAAAGCGCACGUAGGCGGCUUACUAAGUCAGGGGUGAAAUCCUGGAGCUCAACUCCAGAACUGCCUUUGAUAACUGGUAAGCUCGAGUCCGGGAGAGGUGAGUGGAACUGCGAGUGUAGAGGUGAAAUUCGUAGAUAUUCGCAAGAACACCAGUGGCGAAGGCGGCUCACUGGUCCGGUUCUGACGCUGAGGCGGCGAAAGCGUGGGGAGCAAACAGGG
rnacentral:rRNA from 1 species